UGAUCGGACGGUCAAAAGAGCUCUUUAGGGUACAUCAGAGUAACUUCCUAAUCUGAUAGGUGCCUUCUUUCUUCAUUGUUAAUACUACAUGAGUAGGCCCCACUGCUUGGACCUAUGGUGACGUAAAGUGACUUGUGAUGGACAAAAGGCACGUGACUAGAGGAAGACGGAAAUGUUCACGGGUGAGAAUGUAUGAGUUUAUUUUAACUUUUUCUUUUUUACGUUAAUGUUUGAUCAUGAUAUAUGGCGUAGAUUUUUAAUUAGACGGCUUAGGAUUCCUUUUUGACUUUUUUGUAUUUUGACUUCCCUUUUUUCCACUUUUAAGGCAUUGCCACACUUUGGUGCGCAAUUAUCGGGCUCAGUCUUAUAUUGAUGUUCAAAUGUCUUGCAUUGUGUCCGACUAACGACACUAUUCGUGUGCGCGUCUUGGUGUGUGUAGUAAUCCAAUAUUAAUUUAAUUACAUAGCUUUAUAAACUCUUCUCUCUAUUCUGGUAUUUAACUAUGGACGGAUAUAAUCUAUGCAUAGUAGAGAAACUUGCUCUUAUUCGAUCUUAUUGGCUUAGCCUGAAGAGUUAGCUGAUGCUGAUCCGGUAGUGUCAACUAGGCGAUCCUCAACAGCUUCAACAGCAGAGAUUAUCGGACAUGAAGAUAGGAUGAAGAUGGUGGGAUGAAGUAGUCUUUAAAAAAACCAUGUGUAAGGGAAGGCAAAGAAGGUAACCGUAGGGAGGAUACCUUUACCAUUUCGCUUCUUCCGCUUUUGGGGAUUCAAUUCAACUAAUAGAACAGAACCCGAGGGAAACGAAAGGAGUGACCUUCACUCGGAUUAGGGACUAACCGUGAAUGUCGAGGUGAGCCGGCAAGACCGGGGAAAGAACCUAAUGAGACCCUGUAUGAAGCUCGGGUGCUUCAUGUAGAGAGAGACCGAAGCCAGUCUAGUUCACUUCAUGAUGCCAGGCAAUGAAUCAGUCAAGUAGCGGCUCGGCUUGAAUGCCGGUCUUUGGUUUGCAGACGUUUGGGGAUAGACUUGCUUUCACGUUUUCAGCUCCCUUCGCUCCACUCACUUAAACAGACCUAACGGACUAGGUCAGGUUCCCCUUUUUAUAUGUAUUGUUUAAUAAUUAUGAGAAUGCAUUUAUCGGUAAAUAAAACAUGAAUUCUUCAAA